UACGAAGGGGGCUAGCGUUGUUCGGAAUUACUGGGCGUAAAGCGCACGUAGGCGGGCUGAUAAGUUGGGGGUGAAAUCCCGAGGCUCAACCUCGGAACUGCCUUUGAUACUGUUAGUCUUGAGAUCGGGAGAGGUGAGUGGAAUUCCUAGUGUAGAGGUGAAAUUCGUAGAUAUUAGGAAGAACACCAGUGGCGAAGGCGGCUCACUGGCCCGAUACUGACGCUGAGGUGCGAAAGCGUGGGGAGCAAACAGG
rnacentral:rRNA from 1 species